UUUUGCAGGUCAAGUUGCAAUUUUAUUUAAUGGGUCCAAUGGAUUCUCAGAAAACAUUAAUAAAGCCAAAUCAGCUGUAACAUUAUUUUCUUUGUUGCUUGCAUUAUUAAUUGACAGAGUUAUAAGUAAUACACUUUCAAGUUUUUUUUGUUCGCAAAUUAUUUAAAAAACAUCUCAAUCAUAAAAUACCGUACAAUCAUUAAGCUCUUAAUGACUAAAAUUACCAGAAAACUUCUUCCUUUCUUCCGAGGAUAAUUGUUGGAACCAAAUGCAUUCC
rnacentral:pre_miRNA from 1 species